rfam:Picea glauca, whole genome shotgun sequence.
ACAUGCAUACAACAUAGCAUUAAUGCACCAGAUCCCAUUAGAACUCCGCAAUUAAGUAUGAAAAUGCUAGAGUAGUACUAGGAUGGGUGACCACCCGGGGAGUCUUAGUCUUUUACAUGCC